rnacentral:rRNA from 1 species
GCGGUGGAGCAUGUGGUUUAAUUCGAUGAUACGCGAGGAACCUUACCUGGGCUCAAAUGUAUGUUGACGUAUUCUGAAAGGGAUACUUCUUCGGACAAUAUACAAGGUGCUGCAUGGUUGUCGUCAGCUCGUGCCGUGAGGUGUCGGGUUAAGUCCCAUAACGAGCGCAACCCCUAUCAUUAGUUGCCAUCAGGUCAAGCUGGGGACUCUAAUGAAACUGCCUACGCAAGUAGUGAGGAAGGUGGGGAUGACGUCAAAUCAGCACGGCCCUUACGUCCAGGGCUACACACGUGCUACAAUGGCCGGUACAAAGGGCAGCUACCUGGUGACAGGAUGCUAAUCUCCAAGGUCGGUCUCAGUUCGGAUCGGAGUCUGCAACCCGACUCCGUGAAGUUGGAUUCGCUAGUAAUCGCGCAUCAGCCAUGGCGCGGUGAAUACGUUCCCGGGCCUU